AAAGUUCCCUUCGGGGAACGAGUAGAGUGGCGCACGGGUGAGUAACACGUAGGUAAUCUACCUUUGGACGGGGAAUAACACCGAGAAAUCGGUGCUAAUACCGCAUAAUGCAGCGGCACCUAAUGGUGACAGUUGUUAAAGCGGGGGAUCGCAAGACCUCGCGUCUAAAGAGGAGCCUGCGGCGGAUUAGCUAGUUGGUAAGGUAACGGCUUACCAAGGCGAUGAUCCGUAGCCGGCCUGAGAGGGCGGUCGGCCACACUGACACUGACAUACGGGUCAGACUCCUACGGGAGGCAGCAGUCGGGAAUUUUGGGCAAUGGGCGAAAGCCUGACCCAGCAACGCCGCGUGAAGGAUGAAAUCCCUCGGGAUGUAAACUUCGCAAGAACGGGAAGAAUAAGUUGGUGUGAAUAUCACCAGCGAUGACGGUACCGUUUGUAAGCUCCGGCUAACUCCGUGCCAGCAGCCGCGGUAAUACGGGGGGAGCAAGCGUUGUUCGGAUUUACUGGGCGUAAAGGGCGCGUAGGCGGCCACCGCAAGUCGAUUGUGAAAUCUCCGGGCUUAACCCGGAAAGGUCAACCGAUACUGCGGGGCUAGAGUGCAGAAGGGGCAACUGGAAUUCUCGGUGUAGCGGUGAAAUGCGUAGAUAUCGAGAGGAACACCUGCGGCGAAGGCGGGUUGCUGGGCUGACACUGACGCUGAGGCGCGAAAGCUAGGGGAGCGAACGGGAUUAGAUACCCCGGUAGUCCUAGCCUUAAACGAUGGAUGCUUGGUGUCUGGGGUUUUAUAGUCCCCGGGUGCCGUC
rnacentral:rRNA from 1 species